GGUGGGGUUGUGUUUCGUCCGGAGGACACACGGCUCACGACCUUCACCUCCUCCGAGUCUGUAUGGGAGUUGCAGCAAUGGGACAAGUCCCUGUGUGAUAUGAUAAAGCCACUAGUCUGUACUGCAGGUCUCUGUGUGAUAUGAUAAAGCCACUAGUCUGUACUGCAGGUCUCUGUGUGAUAUGAUAAAGCCACUAGUCUGUACUGCAGGUCUCUGUGUGAUAUGAUAAAGCCACUAGUCUGUACUGCAGGUCUCUGUGUGAUAUGAUAAAGCCACUAGUCUGUACUGCAGGUCUCUGUGUGAUAUGAUAAAGCCACUAGUCUGUACUGCAGGUCUCUGUGUGAUAUGAUAAAGCCACUAGUCUGUACUGCAGGUCUCUGUGUGAUAUGAUAAAGCCACUAGUCUGUACUGCAGGUCUCUGUGUGAUAUGAUAAAGCCACUAGUCUGUACUGCAGGUCUCUGUGUGAUAUGAUAAAGCCACUAGUCUGUACUGCAGGUCUCUGUGUGAUAUGAUAAAGCCACUAGUCUGUACUGCAGGUCUCUGUGUGAUAUGAUAAAGCCACUAGUCUGUACUGCAGGUCUCUGUGUGAUAUGAUAAAGCCACUAGUCUGUACUGCAGGUCUCUGUGUGAUAUGAUAAAGCCACUAGUCUGUACUGCAGGUCUCUGUGUGAUAUGAUAAAGCCACUAGUCUGUACUGCAGGUCUCUGUGUGAUAUGAUAAAGCCACUAGUCUGUACUGCAGGUCUCUGUGUGAUAUGAUAAAGCCACUAGUCUGUACUGCAGGUCCCUGUGUGAUAUGAUAAAGCCACUAGUCUGUACUGCAGGUCUCUGUGUGAUAUGAUAAAGCCACUAGUCUGUACUGCAGGUCUCUGUGUGAUAUGAUAAAGCCACUAGUCUGUACUGCAGGUCUCUGUGUGAUAUGAUAAAGCCACUAGUCUGUACUGCAGGUCUCUGUGUGAUAUGAUAAAGCCACUAGUCUGUACUGCAGGUCUCUGUGUGAUAUGAUAAAGCCACUAGUCUGUACUGCAGGUCUCUGUGUGAUAUGAUAAAGCCACUAGUCUGUACUGCAGGUCUCUGUGUGAUAUGAUAAAGCCACUAGUCUGUACUGCAGGUCUCUGUGUGAUAUGAUAAAGCCACUAGUCUGUACUGCAGGUCUCUGUGUGAUAUGAUAAAGCCACUAGUCUGUACUGCAGGUCUCUGUGUGAUAUGAUAAAGCCACUAGUCUGUACUGCAGGUCUCUGUGUGAUAUGAUAAAGCCACUAGUCUGUACUGCAGGUCUCUGUGUGAUAUGAUAAAGCCACUAGUCUGUACUGCAGGUCUCUGUGUGAUAUGAUAAAGCCACUAGUCUGUACUGCAGGUCUCUGUGUGAUAUGAUAAAGCCACUAGUCUGUACUGCAGGUCUCUGUGUGAUAUGAUAAAGCCACUAGUCUGUACUGCAGGUCUCUGUGUGAUAUGAUAAAGCCACUAGUCUGUACUGCAGGUCUCUGUGUGAUAUGAUAAAGCCACUAGUCUGUACUGCAGGUCCCUGUGUGAUAUGAUAAAGCCACUAGUCUGUACUGCAGGUCUCUGUGUGAUAUGAUAAAGCCACUAGUCUGUACUGCAGGUCCCUGUGUGAUAUGAUAAAGCCACUAGUCUGUACUGCAGGUCCCUGUGUGAUAUGAUAAAGCCACUAGUC